UGCACACAAAUAAGUAAGGUCUCCAUGAAUUUAACAGCACGGGGCAUCCACAUUGCUCCGGAGUGGGCGUGCCUCUCCAGAAAACCAAUAUGAAGCAGAGCAGAAAAAUGGUGGUGAAGAAACGUCAGCAACGUCAUAUCCUUUAAAGGGGGGCCCUGCGAUGGAUCAGCGACCUUUACACCGACUCCCCCGAUGUGAGCUGAAAUUGGCUCCAGCCCCCUGAGACCCUGUACGCAGGAUAAGCCGUUCACAUCCACACCUAAGGACAAUUUUGGAGACGCCGAUUAACCUAGCCUGCAUGUCUUUGGAUGCAAACUCCACACAGAAAGGCCGAUGCAACCGGGGUUUGAACCCACAACACUCAUGCUGUAAGGCAACAGCACUAACCACUGCACCACAUUAGUGAUGUGCAAUACCCCUUAAUUCCUAUACGAUCCAAUACCAAGUAAUACCCAGGCUGGUUUUUCCGAUACCAAUACCAAUACUUUUUACAUAUUUAAUGCAAGUUUAAUGUGGGGAAAAAUCUGACCUCCCUUCUUCCGUUUCUGUAUUUAUGAGAGAAAUAAGGAGUAGGCUGUUGCCUUACCAAUUCAAAAUAAUAGCUGCAUAAUGACAAGACAUCAAACUACA